rnacentral:rRNA from 1 species
AUUGAACGCUGGCGGCAUGCCUUACACAUGCAAGUCGAACGGCAGCACGGGUGCUUGCACCUGGUGGCGAGUGGCGAACGGGUGAGUAAUACAUCGGAACAUGUCCUGUAGCGGGGGAUAGCCCGGCGAAAGCCGGAUUAAUACCGCAUACGAUCUACGUAUGACAGCGGGGGACCUUCGGGCCUCGCGCUAUAGGGUUGGCCGAUGGCUGAUUAGCUAGUGGGUUGGGUAAAGGCCUACCAAGGCGACGAUCAGUAGCUGGUCUGAGAGGAGGACCAGCAAAACGGGAAGGGAGACACGGCCCAGAAUCCUACGGGAGGCAGCAGAGGGGAAUUUUGGGAAAUGGGGGAAAGCCUGAUCAAGAAAUGCCGGGUGUGUGAAGAAGGCCUUGGGGUUGUAAAGAACUUUUGUCGGGAAAGAAAUCCUUGGACAUAAUACGGUCGGGGGAUGACGGUACCGGAAGAAAAAGCACCGGCUAACUACGUG